rnacentral:lncRNA from 1 species
CUUGGAGUAUCUACCUCCAGAGAUGUGUUCAGAGUUGGAAAGUGUUUCCAGAACUCCCAGCACAUUCUGAAAUUCCUCUGGGAGACUGCAUUUCAAGGCCAAAUUAAAAGACACACAUACAAAUCUGGUCUUCAACUUAAAUAGUGUCUGAUAGUUUAUGGGCUCUCAUAUUGCCUUGUUUUUUUGUUCAUUUGUCAACAUGAAGAAUCAAACUCUGGAUCUGGGCAUUGGUGGCUCAUGCCUUUAAUCCCAGUACUCAUGAGGCAAAGGCAGGUGGAUCUCUGUGAGUUCAAGGCCAGCCUGGUCUACAGAGCAGGUUCCAGGACAGCCAUGGCUAUGCACAGAAAUCUGUCUUGAAAAAACAAAGAAGGAGGAGGAGGAAGAAGAGGAGGAGGAGGAGGAGGAGGAGGAGGAGAAGAAGAUGAAGAAGAAGAAGAAGAAGAAGAAGAAGAAGAAGAAGAAGAAGAAGAAGAAGAGGAAGAGGAAGAGGAAGAGGAAGAGGAAGAGGAAAAGAAGACAGGAACCAAACUCAAGGCCUCUUGCCUGGACUUGAGAGGAAUAAAACGAAGAAGUAAAGAGUCUCAUGUGAGACUUUUCUCCAGCCACCCUGAAAAGAGAACAGCCCUUUCAGCCUGAGGCAGAGGCUGCCCUUGAACUCACUGUGUAGCCACGGUUGGCUAUGAACUCCUGGUUUUUCUGACUUUGUCUCCCCAGUGCUGGGAUUACAAGAGCAUGCCUUCACACCUAGCCAAGAAAUUAAUUUAUAUAUCAAUAUGAAGAGGUCCUAAAAUUAUAAGUAGAAAAAUGAAGUUGCAGAACAUUCUAUAUAGUACAGUGACUUUUACUUCAGCUGUUUAAACAAUGCUUUGUAUCACUUAUAUCAUUCACAGCAUUUAUAUCACUAUACAGCCUGGAAAUGGGUGGGGCCAGAUGUGCUGUAGUCCCACCCCUUAGGAGAUGGAGACAGGAGAAUCGGGAGCUGAGGUCAACCAUGGAUGUAUGUGGAAUUCAAUGCCAGCCUGGGCUGCAAGAGGUCACAACCUCCAUUAAAGCAUGAGCCAGAAGGCUGCACAUGAAGAGAGAAACUCCAAUUGUAUUUUUCCCAGGCAUGGAGGACUGAGGAGUGUGGGGAGUGGGGGUGAGGAGUAUUACUGUGGAUGGAACGCAAGUCCUCCUGCAGGCUAUGCCCUAUUCCUGUUCCGCUGGACUUCCUAGUCAACCCCUCCCCCCCAGUUGUAUCUUUGUGCUUGAUUCCUUCCUCCUUUCCUCCCUCCCUCCCUCCCUCCUUCCUUCCUUUCUUGAUUCUUUCCUCCCCUUCUUCCUUCCAGUUUUGAAUUUCUUUGUAAAUUUCAUUUUUAUUUUUAUGUGUAUAGGUGUUUUGUCUGCAGGCUUAUCUGUGUACCAUGUGCAUGCCUGAUGCCUCUGGGGGCCAGAAGAAGGCACCAAAUCCCCUGAAACUGAAGUCACAAUGGCUGUGAGCCAACAUGCAGGUUUUGGGAAUUGAACUCAGAUACUCUGAAAGAGAAGUCAGUGCUCUUAACCACUUAGUCAUAUCUCCAGCCACAAUGUUUAAACACUCACAACUGUGUGUGUGUGUGUGUGUGUGUGUGUGUGUGUGUGUGUGUGUGUGUCCAGGUGUAGUGGCUCACUCCUGAAAUUCCAGUACACAGGAGACAGAGGCAGGAAAAUCACUACAAGUUUAAGGCCAUUCUGUAUAACAAUUUUAGUUCAUUCAAGGCUACAUACUGAGACCCUAUCUUAAUAAGUAAAUAAAUAAAUAAAUGUAGCACACACAACAAAAUAGGUAUUUUUUUAAAAAGUUCAUUCAAAUUGGUUUAUUAUAAAUCCUGCAUGUUUUCUGGAUGUUCAAAAUAUUUUAUAAAUAUUUUGAAUAAAAAUAUACUUUUGCUUCAGAAUACUACGCAGGUAGAAUUUCUAACAAUUAAAUUGAUUACAUUGACAUUAAAGUUAAAUUUAAAGUGCAGUUCUUGGUAGUUCUAGCCUCCUUUCUUGUGCUCGGUAGCUUCAUUCUCUCUCUCUCUCUCUCUCUCUCUCUCUCUCUCUCUCUCUCUCUCUCUUUAUCUCUCUCCCUUGAAGCAAAACCCAUAGAGGAACACUGUCUACUGGCUUUCUCAGACAAUUUUCUUUUUUGGGCUGGGGAUAGUUCAAGAUAGGGUUUCUCUGUAUAGCCCAGGCUGUCCAGGUAGACCAGGAUGGCCUCAAACUCACAGAGAUCUGCCUGCCUCUGCCUCCCAUGUGCUGGGAUUAAAGGCGUGGCCUUGUGUGUUUUUUUGGUUUUUUUGUUUUGUUUUGUUUGUUUUUUUCCUUUGGGACAGGAUAUCACUAUGUAGCUCCGGCUGUCCUAGAACUUGGUGUGGGAUAAUGCUCUCGUACACUGUAAAGAUUUGUCACUCAUAUUGAUUUAAAUAAAAAUGCUGAUUGGCCAGUAGUCAAGCAGGAAGUACAGGCAGGGUGACCAGAAGAGAAUUCUGGGAAAAGGAGAGGUAGAGACACAUUCGACAGCCAGAUGCAGAAGAAGCAACAUGAGAAUGCCUUACUGAGAAAAGGUACCAAGCUGUCAGGCUAAACAUAGAUAAAAAAAAAUAUGGGUUGGUUUAAGUUGUAAGGGCUUGUUAGUAAUAAGCCUGAGCAAUAGGCCAAACAUAUAUCGUUUUAUUCAAGACAGAGUUUCUCUGUGGCUUUGGAGGCUGUCCUGGAACUAGCUCUUAUAGACCAGGCUGGUCUUGAACUCACAGAGAUCCACCUGCCUCUGCCUUCCGAGUGCUGGGACUAAAGGUGUGCACCACCACCACCCAACUAAACAGUUUGUAAUUAAUAUAAGCUUCUGUGUGUCUAUUUGGAACUGAAUGACUGCAGGAUGGGGUGGAACAGAAACCUGUGUCUAUAAGAACUUCCUAUGUAGACUAGGCUGGCCUCAAACUCACAGAGAUCCACCUGUCUCUGCUUCCUGAGUACUGAGAUUAAGUGUGUACCACCAUACCUAGUUUUCUUACACAGCUAGCUCAACCCAGGGAUGCUACCACCCACAGUGAGCUGGUCCCUCCUACAUCAAUGGGCAAUGAAAAAUACCUUAUGGACAAGCCCACGGGCCAAUCUAUUGAAAGAAAUUCUUCAAUUUGGGGGCGGGUCCCUCUUUCCAGGUGUGUCAAGCUGACCACCAAGAUUAGGCAUCACACUUUGUUUUUCUGUUUCCUUCCUUUGUAUUUUUGGUUAGUUGGUUUGGGAGUUGGUGUUAGAGAUCAAACCCAAGACCUAAUGCUGAGCUUCACCAGUGAGCUGUACCCCAAACCCUUGUUUCUCAGGUUUUUCUUUAAUCCAGAAAGUGAGUAUUAGUGUUAGUAACAUGUAAAUGCAGACCAGAUAUUCAUCAAACAAGGAAUAUAGCUAUAAGAACCUUAAGUUGAGUUAAGGGAGAUUUUCCCAAAUUAUUGCAAAGG